rnacentral:lncRNA from 1 species
UCCCUUUAUUACAUCAGUCCAAAUCUGCCAAAUUUCAAUGGCCCAACAAAGUCCAAACUCAUUUACAAUAACCCAAUUCUAAACCCAACUACUCUAGCCCAAAAAUUCAAAGCCCAAAUAACCCAAAAUAUUUUAGAAUCAGAAACUAGGGUUUCCCUUUCUCUACAGCUGGCCUCCCAACCCUCAUACAGCCUUCAGCAUCUCCGUACGGCCUUCACGCACCACCCCAAGCCAAGCGCCACGUACCACCGCGCCAACUAGCCUCCGUACCUGCGAAGAAACAGACAAACACAGCAGCAAGAGCAAAAACCAAGCAAAAAAAUUUGUAUUCUUUUUCUCUUUUGUUGUGGCUAUAAAAAGCCAAGAAAUAUCAAUGUAUCGCUCUCUCUUAUUUUACGCACACUUUAUGCAUAUUACGCAAACCGAAUACAAAGAAAAGGUUAUCGAAAAUUAGCGAAAGGUGGUUUUCAAUUCCUCAUAUCUAUUUUUUUCUUUUUUUGCAUUUCAGUUUUUGGCUUUUUAAUCUUGUAUGUGGUUUAUGCAAAUAGAAACAAAAAAAAAGGAAAUGGAUUUACCAUAAUAAUUCGAAUUCAUCUUCUUCAUCGCAAUCGAAGUAAGGGUAGAAUCGCGAAGCCGAAACAAACCUCGGGGCUUGGUCCUACAAGGCACCGCUGCAUGUCACCGACCACUGUUUACAGUGGUGUAAGAGCGUCUAAAUAUGGGGGUUGCUGGAUCGGCCAAAUGAGGAGAAAAUGGGGCGUUAGGUUUUGGUCCGAUUGUGGUUUGAAGAUAUGGCAUAUUGCCAUUCAAUUUCCUACAAUUAUGGAUUAAAAAUGAAACAGGGCGGUUUCAGGUAAGAGAUCUGCGCGUCGACCCAUUCCAGGACCCAGAUCCGCGCCUUAGCUCUUCAAAUGGGGAAUUUGCGCGUUAGAUCCCUCCUCUCGCGCGAGCAUUCAAUUGUGCCCUGUUUGAUUUACUUUAUUUUUCUUUUUGUAAAUUUGGCUCCAUAGUUUGCGCGUGUUUUCAUUUUAGUCCGUGAUACAGUGCUGCAUUUUGGGCUUGGGGAGAUUUGCAAUUCUAGUCCCAAUACUUUUACGCGCGUUGCACAUUGAUCUUAUUUACGAUUAUUUUAUUUGUAAAUUAUCUUUCUUAUUUUGAUUCAAUCUUAAUUUGGUCUUUCAUUUGUAUAAUCUGCUAAUUUAAAAUACAUUUAAAAUACAUUUAAUAUUU